ACGCAACAGCAGCACAGGCACCGGGGCUUACAGGGCAAGAUUCCCCUGCAGAGCUGGUGGAUCCAAGGGAGACAUCAUUUUGUUACCUACACAUGGCCUGACAAAAGGCUCCGAAAAAACAGGCUGAAGAAGAUGUAAAUCCCCCAGAAGAUCAGGGGCAUGACCUUACAGUAAUGCUGGGAGCUGGUGUCUUCACCGCCUGGGAGAAGAGCUGGGCCACCCUGAAGUAUCCUGAAGGAGAGCUUUUUCUGUGGGUGGUUGUUUUUUUUUUUUUCUACAGAUAGCAAAAGAUUUAAAACAGGGGGUGCAUUCCCAAAUCAUUGAUGGUGCCAAGGCCACCUCCAGUUGAAGAACACUGCCUUUGCAAUCAUUUCUCCCUCAAAAGACUGCAGGUGGACAAUGCAGCUUAAUAAUACUGAACCGGGCAUCUGAUCGCGAUGCUCCGGUUAUUGCAGCAGGCAUAACAGGGAUUGCAACCCAGCAUCGGGAGAAAGAGCACAUAAAACCUUCAGAAACGUUUGUCAAGAUUUCCCCUUAUACUUGCAGAUGUUAAAACCAGAGGCACAGAAGCAGAGGACUCAACACAUAUGCUAACGGAUACCAAGUGCUAAAAUGAUUUCUAAUAUGAAUGCCUAUAAAAUAAAACUGAUAUUUCUGUAAACACUUUUCUGACACUUUGUCCCCCCGUAAACCCUCCCUAAUGCCUGUGCUUUUUAAUGUUAACUUUAUCUUAAAAUUUUUUAGAAUCGGAAUCACUAAUACAGCUGCUUGACAAUGAACGUAGCAAAUCUAUUCAAAAUUGUGUAACAGUUUUGACAAAUACUUUUCUUUGUUUGGAAAGUGCUCGUUUUAACUAAUCAACACUCAUCAUUAUGUGUCUGGACAUGCUAAUCACCUAGUAUUUUUUCCAUUCCCUGACUGGGAGUCUGUAAGUUAUAGUAAGGAAGAUAAAUGUGUGAGUAAACAUGUGUUUGAAUAUUUCUCAGAGUUACUCUUGACAAAAAUUGUAUGUAUUCGGUGAUUCAAAACCAUAUGUAUAAGUAUCCAC